CAAGACCCCAGCCAAGUCUACAAGAUGGUACCUGCCACUCUUUGGUUACAUGCUUGAUCUGUCCAUUGCAAAUUCCUGGCUGGUCUACAAGAAGGAAUGUGGACAACUAAACCAGAAACCAAUCACACUCAAAAGAUUCCACCUAGCAGUUGCGCAUAGCUUGAAACAAGUCAACAAGCCAGCAUCCAAAGUUGGCCAACCAUCAUCCAGCUCUCCACCACCACCAAAGAAAGGAUACACCCCAAGACCCUCACAACCACAGCGAGAUGUGCGAUAUGACUGCUUUGGGCAUUGGCCACUUCACUGUGACAAGCGAGGCCGAUGCAAUUACUGUCCAAAGGGCGUCUCAAGAUGGAAAUGCCAAUAAUGCAAUGUUUUCUUGUGCUUGAAUGCCAGUCAGGAAUGCUUUGCCGUGUACCACCAGAAGAUCUAAUCAUCAAGGGGUAUUGGUAAAGUUGCCUGAACGGCAAAAGAAAAGAGCCAGAACUGUUUCAGUGUGUUCUCAAAAUUUUCAGUGCAAAAUGGCAAUGGUAAAUAAUAUACCACCAGAAUUUUCUGGAAAAUAAAAUAAAAAAUGUUAGUGCUGUUCCAACACUACAGUGAAAAGUUUAUGUUAACAACAGGUCAAAAGUGAAUUUGUAUGUUUAUGAAUUUUUGGUAAUUGCAGAUCAAGUUUUUGAUCAAAUUUACAAUAUUUUUGUGUUUUAUACAUUUUGUGGUUUGUUAUUAUAACGCCCACUGUUGAAAUGGAAUCCAACAAUGUUUGAUGUUUUACUACCACAAUAAAGUGGGUCAAACACAAAAUUGGGUAGUUAUUGUUUUGCAAAAUGAGUAUAACCUUUACUUUUUUCUACUAGUUAUGUCUGUAGAACUUUAUGUAGUGGUACCAUAGAGUGACAUCUCAACCGUUUGGUAGAGGGUAAUAUUUAAAAAACUAUAAGGUGUGUAUAAAAAAAAUUUUUGGAUUGUGAUCAUUAUUGACCUAAAGGAAUAGAAAAUAUGAACAAAUAAUUUUUUCAUUGUAUUUUUCUUGGUGAGGCAGUCAAAGGGUUAAAUAAAGGUGUAGACUCUGUCUUAAAUUUCUAUUCUUUUUAAUGGCCACCAGGGGGCAAUACCUAGGGCUUGUAAAAAGAAUUUUGUUACUAUAGAAAGAAAAACAGUUUCCAAAUGUGACCUCUCUAAACACUUUCCUGCUGUAUUUAGUCAUUAUUUUCAGGGUGAGAUUGGGAGAAAAAUGAUUAAGUAAUGGUCAGAAAUGGAGGAUUGUUUCAAGUAGUUUGCCAAUGAGCAUGCAGUUUGACGGUCCAAUCUGCCCUUUUCAUGAUAUCUGAUUUUUAAAAGACCAAGAUGGUGAUGGAGAAAAUGGCUUGUAUUGAGGAUUUAAAAACGAGACAGUGGGUUACAUCGGCCAAGUUCAUGUUUUGUUUUCUUUCAUUUUUUUAAGUGCAUUUUUAAAAAAACAAAACAAAAAACAAAACAAAUGCAUAGAUGCCAAACAGUCAUCUUGUUUUGUCAAAAUUAAAUGUAUAGCCUGACAAAGGAUUAAGAAAGGAUUUACUUUGGUGUGCUUUACAUUCAUUUGUUUCAUCCACAGAGACAGUGAUGGCUUUGCAGUCUGCUGUGGAUCAGGAGCAAUCAGCGAGGCUGAAUCACUAAAUCAAGGGACGACGGUGAUGCCAUGUAGAUUUGACUGGCACCAGACCGGCAGUCAAGUUAUCAUCUCCAUCUAUGCAAAGAACUCCUUGCCAGAGCUCAGUUAUGUCGAGGCCAACAGCACCACGGUGAACAUUCAUGUAAUGUUUGAAGGAGAUAAAGAGUUUGAACAGAAGAUCAUUUUAUGGGGGGCUGUGGAGGUAAAAAAAACAGUGCGGUGAACCUGUUGGCUUCUAAGAUGGAGGUGUCUCUUAAGAAGGCUGAACCAAUCACAUGGGCCCGUCUGGACCUGCCCUCCCUGCCACAGAAUCAGGAACAGGAGGACACCAAUCACACAUAGGACACUCAGAGCUCACUUCCAGCUUGUUCCCCUGUUUAGUCUUUUGUCGCCUGUGUGUCUAUCCUUCCCUUCAGUAGUGUCACUGUGGCAAAUCUAAUUUCUUUCACUUGACUUCCUUUUAAAUCAAAUGUUUAAUGUCAGACCUUUUAUUAAAAGUAAACAGAUGAAACCUCAAACCUUGCACUAACACUGGCAAUGUACUGUAGCUUUAAUCAAGGCUUAAGGGAUAUAACUGUGGUUAGGCAGCUUAUUUAUCUAGCCACAUGGAUGAAUCAAUUUUAGUCUUAAGUUAUCUCUUUGAUAUUUUUCUCUAAUCCCAAAAAGAUUGAUUCUGUUCAUCUGGAUUUAGCGUUUUCAGUGGCAGAAACAUUUCAAGUCACUUGGAUAAGUGACUCGAAACUUAUCCAAGUGACUUGAUAAGUCACUUAUCAAGUCACUUGGAUAAGUGACUCAAAAUGUUUCUCCCACCGGAUUUCCUUACCUGGAUGAUUGAGCAUGCAUCAAGACAUUUUUCUCUAAUGAGUAUGUGUUGUUGUCAGCCUCCACAAUAUGGAAUUCAUGUGUUAUUUCUGUGCAUUCUCUUUAGGUGUCCUUAUACAAAAAUCACACAAAGAAGUCACAAAAGAUAUUUAUGAGUGUAAGAACACCAAUGUUGUUUCCAGUUAACACAGUAUCAGAUUUAUUCACCCUAACUGUAUGGAUUAUAUUUUAUAUUAUUAUUUGUGAA